UCAUCUCUCUUCUAAUUGGUUAAGAAAUACCGCUCAUAACGGCAGUAAUGUUGGUUCGAGUCCAACGGGGUGCA
rnacentral:tRNA from 1 species